CAUUAUUAGAUUCAUAUAGCAAAAACCUCUAAAUCCGCACAGCAGCAUCAACUGCUCAGAAGGCACGAUCUAAGAAAGAACUAUUACUAAAGUCACUACUAAAGCGGUAGUAAAGGGGGGCAGAUCGAUCGCAUCUAGGGCUUGAAGGCGAUCGUCAGAUCAGACCGGGCUGAGGAGCUGGGCGAGGGAGGGCCUCGGCUCGGAUCUCAUGCCGACGACGAUGAUGAGCGGGAUGAAGCCGUAGUGCGCCGCCACCUUGGUCUUCUUCAUGGUCCACGUGGUCCACUCCUUGACGAACCGCACCGCCGCCGCAGCCGUGGACUGCUCCUCGUCGGCCGCCGGGGAUCCCUUCCUCGCGCCCUUGACCUUGGGCUUCGGCUUCAGCGACGGCCGCGACGCCAUGGCACCUCCCUCUUGAUUCGAUUCGGGGGGUCGCUGAACAGAAACCCUAGGGCUGUGCGGAAGUGUCGUUCUGGGGUUUGAUGAUCCCU
rnacentral:sRNA from 1 species